rnacentral:rRNA from 1 species
CAAGUCGAACGGUAAGGCCCCUUUCGGGGGGUACACGAGUGGCGAACGGGUGAGUAACACGUGAGCAACCUGCCCUUGACUCUGGAAUAACAGCUGGAAACAGCUGCUAAUACCGGAUACGACCUCUUGCGACAUCGCAGGAGGUGGAAAGCUCCGACGGUCAAGGAUGGGCUCGCGGCCUAUCAGCUAGUUGGUGAGGUAACGGCUCACCAAGGCUUCGACGGGUAGCCGGCCUGAGAGGGCGACCGGCCACACUGGGACUGAGAUACGGCCCAGACUCCUACGGGAGGCAGCAGUGGGGAAUAUUGCACAAUGGGCGAAAGCCUGAUGCAGCAACGCCGCGUGCGGGAUGACGGCCUUCGGGUUGUAAACCGCUUUCAGUUCCGACGAAGCGCAAGUGACGGUAGGAACAGAAGAAGGACCGGCCAACUACGUGCCAGCAGCCGCGGUGAUACGUAGGGUCCGAGCGUUGUCCGGAAUUAUUGGGCGUAAAGGGCUUGUAGGCGGUUCGUCACGUCGGAAGUGAAAACUCAGGGCUUAACCCUGAGCCUGCUUCCGAUACGGGCAAACUAGAGGGAUGCAGGGGAGAACGGAAUUCCUGGUGGAGCGGUGGAAUGCGCAGAUAUCAGGAGGAACACCGGUGGCGAAGGCGGUUCUCUGGGCAUUUCCUGACGCUGAGUAGCGAAAGCGUGGGGAGCAAACAGGCUUAGAUACCCUGGUAGUCCACGCCGUAAACGGUGGGCACUAGGUGUGGGGGACAUUCCACGUUCUCCGUGCCGAAGCUAACGCAUUAAGUGCCCC